rnacentral:tRNA from 1 species
AAUAUUUUAAGUUAAAUUUACAAAACUUUUAGCCUUCAAAGUUAAAAAUAUUAAAAACUACUUAAUAAAUAUUA